UGGCGUUUGUUGGCUUGUUGAAUUUUAUAAUCGAAAAAGUAAAACCUCACUCGUUAACAUUGAACAACCCCUACCCUUUCCUUUUCUUUUUAUAAAUAAAUAUUACUCUUGUUCAAAUUGUAGAUCACACGCUUCAAUAAUUUAACAAUUUAUUCUUCAGCCACAAUUCUCAAAUUGCUACAAAAAACAAUCAAGAAAAAUUGUAACCAAACAUCACCUAACAAAUAAAUAUCACAAAAUUGUGUAAAGCAUGCAUCACAAAAACAUUCACAGUCUACAUGUUUUCUUCAUGUGAUCGCAAAAUAUACUUAUACUUUACCUAUAUAAAAAAUUUCAAAAAAUAUUCCCGAUUAACAUUCAACUGACACAAACAAACAAACAAAACAUCAAACUCCUAAACCUCAACCACAUGAAAAUUUUCAAAUCACUUCCUUCCCUUUCCCCUUUUAUUACCAAAUUUCCCCGUUUUCUUCCCUUUUUUGGGAUUACUCUUCAUAAAAGCAGCUUUAGUUGCUUUUGUUUGCCUAUCUUUCCUAACCUGUUCAAGAUUUUUAACUUCUGACCUCACAUGAGCAUUAGGAACCAUACGACCUUUAAAUCCUCUGUUAUUACGUCCCCUUUGCAUUCCACCUNAUAUAUUUUUUAAAAAGUCAACUGUAUGCAUAUUAUAUAUGAUAUACCUUUGAGACUUGUAGAUUCCAUAGCACUAGUACUACUACUACCUUCAUUGUUUGAUCCUUGAAAAGAUAUCUUACUGUGUGACUUUUCUUUCCAUCUUUUAUAUAUUCCUGUUUUAUUCGCCUUCCCUUUUUUACCACUCUCUGUUAUUAUCUGUACAUACACACAAGUAAAUAAAAUAGUACAAACAUAUUUUCACAACCAAAAUU
rnacentral:lncRNA from 1 species